rnacentral:rRNA from 1 species
AUGCAUUCGCAAGCUUGCUUCUGGUGCUCUCAACACCGUAUUUAUAAUGUGGGGAAACUAAAACUCUUACAAGAGUUAAGGGCUUUUGCCGUCAAUAAGGAAAACGAAGGGUUUGAAAUAAAUCAACUAGAGCAUCUGACCGAGCUAAGGGAAGUUGGCAUUUAUAACCUUGAGAAGAUACACACGAAAGAAGAAGCGGUUGAAGCAAAACUAAUACAGAAAGACUACUUGCACAAAUUAACACUAGAUUGGGAUAGUGAGCGACCUAAUAGUGAGCCUGGCGCGGAAGUAGUGGUUCUUGAGAGCCUUCAACCACAUAGAAAUCUUCAGGAGCUGAGAAUUACAGGACACCGUGGCCCUUCUUGUCCAACAUGGCUGCGUGAUAACCUGGUUGUUCAGGCUCUACAAUCUCUCUCUCUCUUCUCUGUUUCUUGGGAUAUUUUUCCUUCAUUUGGGAAGAUGUGGAAUCUUCGUGAGCUAGUAUUGUCGAAUAUUUCCACAAUAAAGGAGUUUGAUCUAGAGCAAAGCUUUUGCAAGUUAGUAAGGAAGAUUACACUCACUGGAUUAGAAAAUUUUGAAAAAUGGGUACCACAGCCCACUCAUUUCUUACCUCAUUUGCAAGUACUGAUUAUCACAGAUUGCCCUAAACUCUCAGAGCUGCCAUUUUCAAGCCACAUUGUUUACCCACUGAAACAAGACUGGAACAUAGAUUGGUUUCCCAAACUACAAAAGCUUAAGAUAGAAAACUGCCCUGAAGUGUUGCUACUGCCUCCUAUUCCUUGGACCCAAUCUUUGUGCUCUGUCAAGAUAAGUGAUGUGGGAUCAAAACUAGUGAAGAAGUUGGUCUACUCAAAAUCAUCUUCUGGAGUAGAAUUGGAAGUUAACGCACAGGAUGGUCUGCAUAACUUAGAUCAGGUGUUACUAUUCAGUCAACUUACAGAAAUUCAGGAGUUGAAGAUAAAAAAUUGCCCACCUUUGGAGCUGAAGUAUUUUAUAAUGCUAACCUCAUUGAAGAAAUUGUGGGCAUGGUCUUCAAAUCAUGGGGUGGUGGCAUCAGAAGUUCAGAGUGGUGGCGAAUGGCAGCAUCCUGUUGAGGACAUUAAAAUCUGGGUUUCUGAUUCUAGUGGAAAGGAAUUGACGCAGUUCUUGUCUCACCUCCCAAAGCUAUCCAAAUUGCAAGUGUAUCGUUGUGAAAACAUAACACAGUUUGCUGUGGGGGUGGAUUUGCAGCAAACAACAUCACCAGUAGUAUCAUCGUCAACCUCUUCAGAUGUUACAAUUGAUGAAACACAAGCAAAAGAUGAGCAGCAAGAAAUAGCAGAGGUGGAGAAGGAGGAGGCAAACACGGUGGAUGAUGAUGGGCUGUUGCUCCUCCCUGCACAUCUCUCCAACUCUCUGCAGACGUUGGUCAUCAAAAUAGGUGGUGCGGUUGUUCAUUCCCUCAGUGCCCUCCAAGCCAUAACUACCCUUUGGUUAGAAGAUUGUUCUUUUUACCACCCUUUCCCUCCCACGCUGCUAGACCUGCAACUUUCGUCCGUGAAGGGCGUGCAGACGAUGGAGUCCCUUUCAAACCUCACCUCUCUUACCCGAUUAGAAAUAUAUCGUUGCGGAGAGGAUUUAAGAUGCGAGGGCCUGUUGCCUCUCCUUACUCGGGGCCAGCUCAGCAAUUUAAAAGUCAAAGGAAGCCCCAAUUUCUUUGGUGGGUGGGAUCCCAAUCCCAUGCGGGGGAUGACAGAAUCCAAACUGCAGAAUCUCGAAACAGAUGACAUCGAGGGCUUACUCGAUGCGCCCGUCCUCUGUAGCCUCCUCUCUUCCUCCCUCACAUCGUUGGACUUUAUUGGGAACCAUGAGACGACGCGCUUCACAAAGGAGCAGGAGGAGGCCUUUCAACGCCUCACCUCGCUCCAGGAACUCUGGUUUUGGGGUUGCGACAAGCUCGAGCACCUCCCUGCAGGCCUAAACAAGCUGACCAACCUCAAGAGAUUAUGGAUCUGGUGGUGUCCAGCCCUCCGGUCGCUGCCCAAUGGCGGCCUCCCGAGUUCACUGCGAGAAUUAGAUGUCAACAGGUGCGACAACGAGGAGCUAACAAAGCAGUGCAGGCGGUUGAUGGGAACCAUUCCGAAAAUCAUACUAUAG